rnacentral:rRNA from 1 species
GCUUAUGGCCAUACCACCCUGAGCACGCCUGAUCUCGUUCGAUCUCGGAAGCUAAGCAGUGGUCGGGCCGGGUUAGUACUUGGAUGGGAGACUGCCUAGGAAUACCAGGUGCUGUAAGCU